GAUGAACGCUGGCGGCGUGCCUAAUACAUGCAAGUCGAGCGAACGGACGAGAAGCUUGCUUCUCUGAUGUUAGAGGCGGACGGGUGAGUAACACGUGGAUAACCUACCUAUAAGACUGGGAUAACUUCGGGAAACCGUAGCUAAUACCGGAUAAUAUUUUGAACCGCAUGGUUCAAAAGUGAAAGGCGGUCUUGCUGUCACUUAUAGAUGGAUCCGCGCUGCAUUAGCUAGUUGGUAAGGUAACGGCUUACCAAGGCAACGAUGCAUAGCCGACCUGAGAGGGUGAUCGGCCACACUGGAACUGAGACACGGUCCAGACUCCUACGGGAGGCAGCAGUAGGGAAUCUUCCGCAAAGGGCGAAAGCCUGACGGAGCAACGCCGCGUGAGUGAUGAAGGUCUUCGGAUCGUAAAACUCUGUUAUUAGGGAAGAACAUAUGUGUAAGUAACUGUGCACAUCUUGACGGUACCUAAUCAGAAAGCCACGGCUAACUACGUG
rnacentral:rRNA from 1 species